rnacentral:rRNA from 1 species
AAUCCAUAGGUUAAUGAGGCGAACCGGGGGAACUGAAACAUCUAAGUACCCCGAGGAAAAGAAAUCAACCGAGAUUCCCCCAGUAGCGGCGAGCGAACGGGGAGGAGCCCAGAGCCUGAAUCAGCAUGUGUGUUAGUGGAAGCGUCUGGAAAGGCGCGCGAUACAGGGUGACAGCCCCGUACACAAAAGCGCAUGUGCUGUGAGCUCGAUGAGUAGGGCGGGACACGUGGUAUCCUGUCUGAAUAUGGGGGGACCAUCCUCCAAGGCUAAAUACUCCUGACUGACCGAUAGUGAACCAGUACCGUGAGGGAAAGGCGAAAAGAACCCCGGCGAGGGGAGUGAAAAAGAACCUGAAACCGUGUACGUACAAGCAGUGGGAGCACCCUUUGGGGUGUGACUGCGUACCUUUUGUAUAAUGGGUCAGCGACUUA